rnacentral:tRNA from 1 species
GCGGGUGUGGCAUAAUGGUAGUGCCUUAGCCUUCCAAGCUAAUGAUACGGGUUCGAUUCCCGUCGCCCGCU